rnacentral:rRNA from 1 species
UACGUAGGGGGCUAGCGUUGUCCGGAAUCAUUGGGCGUAAAGCGCGCGUAGGCGGCCGGUAAGUCCGCUGUGAAAGUCAAAGGCUCAACCUUUGAAUGUCAGCGGAUACUGCCGGGCUAGAGUCCGGAAGAGGCGAGUGGAACUCCUGGUGUAGCGGUGGAAUGCGCAGAUAUCAGGAAGAACACCAACGGCGAAGGCAGCUCGCUGGGACGGAACUGACGCUGAGGCGCGAAAGCGUGGGGAGCGAACAGG